UAAACGAUACUCCACGAAAAUCUUACCUAUUAAAUAAGUUUGUAUACCGUUAUUAUUAGAUAACUUUGAAAAAAUUAGUUAUUGUGGUUAAAURGGCUAAGUAAAUUAAAUCAAGGUGCAGUUUAUGAAUAGGAGAAAAUGGGUUACAAUAAAAAUAAUUUAAAUGAAUUUGUCUAUGAAGUUAGAUAAUGAAGGUGGAUUUAAUUGUAAUAUUAAUAAUUAUAAUAAUUUGAUAUAGGCUCUAGAAUAUGUACAUAUCGCCCGUCGCUCGCGGGAAAA
rnacentral:rRNA from 1 species